CGGUGUUUAGCGCAGUCUGGUAGCGCACUCGGUCCGGAACCGAGGGGUCGCAGGUUCAAAUCCUGCAACGCCGACCA
rnacentral:tRNA from 1 species